UACGGGGGGAGCAAGCGUUGUUCGGAUUUACUGGGCGUAAAGGGCGCGUAGGCGGCCACUGCAAGUCGGUUGUGAAAUCUCCGGGCUUAACCCGGAAAGGUCAAUCGAUACUGCAGGGCUAGAGUGCAGAAGGGGCAACUGGAAUUUACGGUGUAGCAGUGAAAUGCGUAGAGAUCGUAAGGAAGGCCAGUGGCGAAGGCGAGUUCCUGGACAGUUACUGACGCUGAGGCACGAAGGCCAGGGGAGCAAACGGG
rnacentral:rRNA from 1 species